rnacentral:rRNA from 1 species
GUAGGUGGCAAGCGUUGUCCGGAAUUAUUGGGCGUAAAGCGCGCGCAGGCGGGUCUUUAAGUCUGAUGUGAAAGCCCACGGCUCAACCGUGGAGGGUCAUUGGAAACUGGAGAACUUGAGUACAGAAGAGGAAAGCGGAAUUCCACGUGUAGCGGUGAAAUGCGUAGAGAUGUGGAGGAACACCAGUGGCGAAGGCGGCUUUCUGGUCUGUAACUGACGCUGAGGCGCGAAAGCGUGGGGAGCAAACAGGAUUAGAUACCCUGGUAGUCCACGCCGUAAACGAUGAGUGCUAAGUGUUAGGGGGUUUCCGCCCCCCUUAGUGCUGCAGCUAACGCAUUAAGCACUCCGCCUGGAGAGUACGGCCGCAAGGCUG